rnacentral:rRNA from 1 species
AUUGAACGCUGGCGGCAGGCCUAACACAUGCCAGUCGAGCGGAGGAAGGGAGCUUGCUCCUGGAUUCAGCGGCGGACGGGUGAGUAAUGCCUAGGAAUCUGCCUGGUAGUGGGGGAUAACGUCCGGAAACGGGCGCUAAUACCGCAUACGUCCUGAGGGAGAAAGGGGGGGAUCUUCGGACCUCACGCUAUCAGAUGAGCCUAGGUCGGAUUAGCUAGUUGGUGGGGUAAAGGCCUACCAAGGCGACGAUCCGUAACUGGUCUGAGAGGAUGAUCAGUCACACUGGAACUGAGACACGGUCCAGACUCCUACGGGAGGCAGCAGUGGGGAAUAUUGGACAAUGGGCGAAAGCCUGAUCCAGCCAUGCCGCGUGUGUGAAGAAGGUCUUCGGAUUGUAAAGCACUUUAAGUUGGGAGGAAGGGCAGUAAGUUAAUACCUUGCUGUUUUGACGUUACCAACAGAAUAAGCACCGGCUAACUUCGUG